rnacentral:tRNA from 1 species
GCCCUUAUCGUCUAGUGGCCUAGGACACAUGGUUCUCAACCAUGCAACAGGGGUUCGAUUCCCCUUAAGGGCG